GAGGGUAUAGCUCAGUGGUAGAGUGCCUGCUUAGCAUGUACCAAGUCCUGGGUUCAAUCCCCAGUACCUUUG
rnacentral:tRNA from 1 species